AUCUGGAUAGCUUAAUAAGAGUAUGACAUUGAAGAUGUUAGGGUAACAAUUUGUUUCUAGAUA
rnacentral:tRNA from 1 species